rnacentral:tRNA from 1 species
CCUGAUAGCUCAGUUGGUAAAGAGUCUGCCUGAAAUGCAGGAGACCCAGGUUUGAUUCCUGGGUCAGGA